rnacentral:lncRNA from 12 species
AGUUUUCCCCGAUCCUCUACCCGCCUUGCCGGGGGCCUCCUUUCCAGUCUCACAUUCUGGAGCAUUCAGGGCCGGCUUUACAGUUAUUACCCAGAGUAAAAGACUGUUGGGGCCAGGCGGGAAGGGAAACUCCUC